UAGCCAGCUAGAAGACAGGAAGACAAAAGAGAGACAACUGUCAGUAUUUUACGAGGCAACAUUUUCAGAACAAAAUGAGUUAGAUCGUACUCUCAGAAGAGAAAUUUUAAAAAAUGUGAACAUAUCACACAAAUGAAAUACUCUUUGAGCAAUAAUUUUAAAACAUAAUUGCUAUUUGAUACCUUAAAAUAUUACUCGCAAGAAAACUAUUGCUUGCCUUUGCUCUUUUAUAGUACCAUUCACAAGACACCUCUGGUGGUGUCUCAGAAUGACUUAGAAUUUUUUCUGAGCAACACAUUUCUCAAUGAAGUUUAAAGUCUUCUGAGUUUAAACCAGGCUGUAAAACAGUAUUACAACACUGUGACUAUAUUAUAUUGCAGUGUGCAAAAAAACAUAAAAGUCAAGCUACAUAGCAAACAAGAGACAGUCCAUGUAAUGAACAGAAACUGUAUCAAUGGUAAACAAUGCUGCAACACCUUACAAUCCUAAAUAAAGUGAACAGGUGUGAACCUGAGUUUGUAAGAGUGUGAGUGCAAGUCCAUGUGUAUGAUGAAAACGUGAAUGAGAGAGGGGUAUAUGGGGAGGGGGGGGGGGGACAAAGAGAGACAUUACUUGGCCAUGUUACAUUGCUGUCGCAGAUAUUUAUCCUUUAGGUUACAAGUACAAUUGGCUUUAAAUGAAAUGUCAUCUUUAACAAAAAAUUUCCUUUUUUUAUUGAUAUCUUUAAUCUCAAAAGGGCCUAUAGUUCUUUUGCUCUUUUCUUUUCAUACAAUGCAAGAAAAAUUGUUCUAUAUUAAUACCUCAAGUUCAAGGUGUUUAAUCUUUUCUGUCAGCUGACCUUCUGAUAAUGCACUUCCCUUCUUCUCAACCUGAAAAAGAACAUUAAGACAGGCUAGUUCGCCAUAUAUAUAUAUACAAUCUUCACAAAAAGUUUAGGACCAGUCAGGAUAAUAGGUAGUAUUUUUAAAAAAUCAUUAAAAAAUAAUCAGAUUUAUCUUGUAAAAAUUUAGGAGCAAGGUUAAGGGGUCAGCAGUGAAUAGGGUAACCACUGUGUGGCUGGCACGUAUGUGGCAUGCUUGGCGCGAGUGAAAAUCUGCAAUUUCAGCAAAACUGGACCGAGUUUCAAACGUCAGUGAGGUAUACCAGGGGCUUUCUGCAUUGCAAAAACGAGAUGCACGUAGAAGAAUGCACUUCUGGCUACGAGCUGAGCUCACUUGUCUGCCUACAUAAGCCACCGUUUCAGCUCUGUUUUACAGUAUUACCGCGCCAAGCCCCAUGCCACCACGACAAAAAUUGAACGACUUCGACAGGACCCGAGCAAUUGCCUGGCUCCAGGAUGGAGUUGACAUACGCAAAGUGUCACGCAGACUUCAGGUAUCACACUCCACCAUCAUACGGCUGAGGGAGUCCUGGAGCGGCAUCAUACGGAUGGUCCCAAGAAUACAACAGCAAGAGAGGACCACUACAUCCAACGCCAAGCAAUACAGCAGCAAACUAGCUCUGCCAGCGUCAUCAGGCGACGUCUACGAGCUGCUACCUACACCACAGUCUGUUCGCAGACAAUAUGUAAUCGCCUUUAUGACGUCAACCUUCGUGCGCGUCGUCCAGUCAAAAAAACUAAGCUGACCAAGAACAAGCGUGGCAAAGUUUCAAAUCUGGUGCACUGCACACCAGAGGCGGACAUGUCCCCAGUGGACAGAGGUCCUGUCCACUGAUGAAUCUCGGUUCUAUCUGACACCCAGUGAUGGCCAAACCCGCAUCUCGAGGCAUCCAUGGGAGAAACUUGCUGCCAAUGCAGUUCAAGAAGUGGUCCCGUUUGACUGCCUUGCCGUGAAUGGUGGGCACACGCACUUCUGACAAUUCCAUUGGCAUUCACGAACUUAAACUGGUCAUUGUCUUUGAUAUGCUGAGACUUUUUGAGACCAUUUCUUUUGUGAUUUUCGAUUUUGAGGGUGGGAAUUAAGCAUUUCGGUUUCAACAGUGAUGAAAUUUCUUUUUUGCAUUUAUGGAUUGAUGAAUUAAAUGUAUGUCAAUGAAGGAAUAACUUGACUUGCUGGUUUGUCUUUUGCGAGCACUUUUGCAAGUGGUCCUUAACUUUUUGUGAAGACUGUAGUAAAAAGUAGCACACAACAGAUAUGAAAAUGCUGUAAAAACAAACAUGUAUUCUCAUUUGGGUAACAUUGUUCUAGCAUUGUCUUCAUAUGUGUGGCAUCACGGUAAAAUCAGGCACUUGUCAAAAUAAUGAAAUUAAAGAAAACAGCAUUUUUCCUCCAG